rnacentral:rRNA from 1 species
UACGUAGGGUGCAAGCGUUAUCCGGAAUUAUUGGGCGUAAAGAGCUCGUAGGCGGUUUGUCGCGUCGGCCGUGAAAUCUCCACGCUUAACGUGGAGCGUGCGGUCGAUACGGGCAGACUUGAGUUCGGUAGGGGAGACUGGAAUUCCUGGUGUAGCGGUGAAAUGCGCAGAUAUCAGGAGGAACACCGGUGGCGAAGGCGGGUCUCUGGGCCGAUACUGACGCUGAGGAGCGAAAGCGUGGGGAGCGAACAGG